GGAGUCUAACAUGUGCGCGAGUCAUUGGGCUGACUAAACCCAAAGGCGCAAUGAAAGUGACAAGCGAUUGAGUUCGCUGUUUUGGGAAGAUGGCAGGAGUGAUGAUUCCUCGCCCGCACUCCCGGGGCGCCUCGGCCUUCGGUCGAAGGCGCACCCAGAGCGUACACGUUGGGACCCGAAAGAUGGUGAACUAUGCCUGGCCAGGACGAAGUCAGGGGAAACCCUGCUGGAGGUCCGCAGCGAUUCUGACGUGCAAAUCGAUCGUCAGAGCUUGGUAUAGGGGCGAAAGACCAAUCGAACCAUCUAGUAGCUGGUUCCCUCCGAAGUUUCCCUCAGGAUAGCUGGCGUCCGUUUUGUAACGGAUCGAGUCUCAUUCGGUAAAGCGAAUGAUUAGAGGCCUUGGGGCCGAAACGACCUCAACCUAUUCUCAAACUUUAAAUGAGUGAGGCGUGCGGCUUGCUUGAUCGAAGCCGCGAGAUGGAUCAGGAUGCCAAGUGGGCCAUUUUUG
rnacentral:rRNA from 1 species